GAACAGUAUAACAUUUACUCAAAUUUUUGCUCUUAUUUACGGUAAUGCCAUCUUUCCACCGCUCAAAGAACAUCCACAAUUCAUCUGCCAUCAUUGUGUUUACGGAUCAACCAUGGGACGGCGCCGGAACUAUGGUUCUGCCAUGAACUCUUGCCUGCCGCGAUGAGAAACCUGCCAACAGCUAAAACGGGAAUUGCUUUAGGAUUUCGACCAAAAACGCUCUAGGGUUUCGACAAAAAAUGAAAGCUUCCGCCGAUCAUCUUCACUUUCGGGUUUAGUUGUCCACUUCCGUUCUUGCUGUGGCCAUUUUGGUUCUGUGAGUUGUAGUGCUGCUGGCAUCGGUUCUAGCUGUUUUGCAUCAUGUUCGAAAUGGAGUAGUAAAAAGGUAUAACAUGAUCAUGUGAAAAAAUUUAAAUUGUAUUUCCACUUUUCUUUCUUGUGUAAUUUCAACUUUUUAGGUUUACGAAAAAGAUGCUUGACAACUAAACUUUAUAGAGUAUUGCACACAGAAAUACUAAGAAAUUAACGUGUUGGACUA